rnacentral:rRNA from 1 species
GACGAACGCUGGCGGCGUGCCUAAUACAUGCAAGUCGAGCGGAUUCAUGCCUUCGGGAGUGGGUUAGCGGCGGACGGGUGAGUAACACGUAGGCAACCUGCCUUCAAGACCGGGAUAACAUGCGGAAACGGAUGCUAAGACCGGAUACACAGUAGGGUCGCAUGACCUUGCUGGGAAACACGGCGCAAGCUGUGGCUUGGAGAUGGGCCUGCGGCGCAUUAGCUAGUUGGUGGGGUAAAGGCUCACCAAGGCGACGAUGCGUAGCCGACCUGAGAGGGUGAACGGCCACACUGGGACUGAGACACGGCCCAGACUCCUACGGGAGGCAGCAGUAGGGAAUCUUCCACAAUGGGCGCAAGCCUGAUGGAGCAACGCCGCGUGAGUGAGGAAGGCUUUCGGGUCGUAAAGCUCUGUUGCCAGGGAAGAAUAAGAGCGAGAGUAACUGCUCGCUCGAUGACGGUACCUGAGAAGAAAGCCCCGGCUAACUACGUGCCAGCCGCCGCGG